rnacentral:rRNA from 1 species
CUACGGGGCGCAGCAGUAGGGAAUCUUCCACAAUGGGCGAAAGCCUGAUGGAGCAACGCCGCGUGGGUGAAGAAGGUCUUCGGAUCGUAAAACCCUGUUGUUAGAGAAGAAAGUGCGUGAGAGUAACUGUUCACGUUUCGACGGUAUCUAACCAGAAAGCCACGGCUAACUACGUGCCAGCAGCCGCGGUAAUACGUAGGGGGCAAGCGUUGUUCGGAAUGACUGGGCGUAAAGGGUGUGUAGGUGGUUUGAUAAGUUAGAUGUGUAAUACCCAGGGCUUAACUCGGGUGCUGCAUCUAAAACUG